rnacentral:rRNA from 1 species
CUCGAAAGCUAUUUAGGUAGCGCCUCAUGUAUCACUCUGGGGGGUAGAGCACUGUUUAGGCUAGGGGGUCAUCCCGACUUACCAAACCGAUGCAAACUCCGAAUACCCAGAAGUGCCGAGCAUGGGAGACACACGGCGGGUGCUAACGUCCGUCGUGAAAAGGGAAACAACCCAGACAGCCAGCUAAGGUCCCAAAGUUGUGGUUAAGUGGUAAACGAUGUGGGAAGGCUUAGACAGCUAGGAGGUUGGCUUAGAAGCAGCCACCCUUUAAAGAAAGCGUAAUAGCUC